AGUUAUUAUUUUGUAAUAUUUUAUAUGGUUUGCGUGUGUUGUAAAUUCAAACGAGAUAGAUUUCAGCAACAGUAUAUGUUAGCGUAUCAAAGUGUUAUUAUUAUUUCCUGAUAUUUUAAAAAUAAGGGUGAAAAAGACAAAAUUGCGUUAGUCUGUUUUAUUUGUUUCCAUAAUGGUGAUCUCUUGUGUUGCUUAUGGAUAUAAAAAUGAGCAGCAAUUAAGAAAAAUCCCGUUUCAUACUUUUCCAUUUAAACGUCCCAAAAUACUAAAAUUAUGGAUGCAGCCACUUUGUAGGGAUAAUUGGACGCCGUCAAAAACGAGCAGAAUACAUAUCUGGGUAUGGUAUGGGUAUCAAUAGUGCGUGGCCUUAUUGAUGAAAGUACAUGUCAUGACUGUAUAGAAAUUUUAUUAAUAAGAGAUAAUGGUAUUUGUCAUGACCACAUGUACAGCGCACCCCCCGAGACCUUUAAAAAAAAAUUAUGUAUACUGUGUAUAAAAUUCUACUUUUCGCAGAAAGUCAAUUCCGCGAUAUGUUAGAAAAGGACGAAGUUCUAAAGAGUCCAAUAAAUGAAAAGAAGAUAAUUGUUAAUAUGGCUACUUAAUACUUUGCCCUAAACAUUAAUAUGUUCAAACCCAACCACCCUGUAUUUCAAGAAUUUAUGGGCUCUCGGGGGGUGAGGUGAGGAGUGCCACGAGAUUCAGCUCCCCGAAAAAUUCCGGAUAUUUUUAUAACAUGUCGAAUGCACCACCACUCUUCACUUCUU
rnacentral:lncRNA from 1 species